rnacentral:lncRNA from 1 species
AUGGACCCGGUGAUGGAAGCAGGUGGGGUUGAUAAAGCUUGCUUCAAGCAACAACUGUCUUCAGGAUGGAUGGACCCUCCGAGGAACAGAUACCUACCAUGGAGUUGUGGAAUGCAGCCCCGGGAGAAACACCUACCAAGGAGAGAAGCAUUUAUAACUUUUGUGGGGUGGGGUAAAGAUAGAGUAAUUUAUUGCUGACAAAAGAAUGUUUUUCUUCCAUCAAAAAUAGAAUUUAUUGUCUGUAUAAUGUGUGGAGUCUCCAGACUGGAAAAGCAACAUUUUGUCAGAGAUGCUUUGCCUGGUAACACCCACCCCAGACACCAGAAUUCUUUAAAAAAAAAUCAAAAUAAACAUUUUUCUUUAAAAUGAAUACAGGCUAUUGUAGAAAAUUUAUGCAUGCAGAAAUUAAAAUCUUUCAUAAUCUGA